CUUCAUUGCAGCAUUAUCAAUGUGCAAAAGCCACAGAAUGAAGCUGGUUCUCACUUCACUCUGUAAACUGGAGAAGAGUUCAAGCAGAGCUCAAGGAAGAUGGAAGUAAAAUUCUGUUACAUAGAAGAGUGGAUUUUGUCCUCAGACCUGGCCCUGUCACUUAGAGGGAGAAUUCUACACUCAUCUAAUCACUUUGCAAGUACCAGCUUGGAUUUGCUUUAGCAGUCUUUUCCAUGAGCAAAAUUUCUACUCUUAAUCUUUUCCUUAAUAUUAAAAGAAAAAAAAUCCAUUAGUAAAAUUAAUAAUGAAGGAGCAAUGUGCUUGAAGCAAAUGUGUCAAGAAAUGACUUAUUUUUUCUGAAUAAUGAAAAUAAAGGGUGAAUUCAUUUACCUCAUCUUAUUUUUUGCUGUCACAACACUCUGGAAAAUUCUUGCCUUAUGCUGUCCUACUCAAUGUUUAUUUGUUUCUGUCUCUGAGGGGAUAGCUUAUCAUAUAAAAGGAGAACACAUUGGAAAAAUACAGUUGUUCCCUAUGUUCUCCAAAAAGUCUUGUUAUGCAAGGUCCUCUUCUAAAAUACAUCUGUCACACUCUAUGAAACAUU